UUGAUAGAAGCCAAAAAGAGGCAUAUCACUGUUAAUGAUAUAAUUGAAUAUACUCCUAUCAAU
rnacentral:tRNA from 1 species